rnacentral:rRNA from 1 species
GAUGAACGCUAGCUACAGGCUUAACACAUGCAAGUCGAGGGGCAGCACAGUGUAGCAAUACAUGGGUGGCGACCGGCGCACGGGUGCGUAACGCGUAUCCAACCUUCCCGAUACUCUUGGAUAGCCUUCCGAAAGGGAGAUUAAUACAAGAUGGUGUUUCACUUUCGCAUGUUAUUGAAACUAAAGAUUUAUCGGUAUCGGAUGGGGAUGCGUGACAUUAGAUAGUAGGCGGGGUAACGGCCCACCUAGUCUACGAUGUCUAGGGGUUCUGAGAGGAAGGUCCCCCACACUGGAACUGAGACACGGUCCAGACUCCUACGGGAGGCAGCAGUGAGGAAUAUGGUCAAUGGUCGGAAGACUGAACCAGCCAAGUAGCGUGAAGGAUGAAGGUUCUAUGGAUUGUAAACUUCUUUUAUACGGGAAUAAAACACCUUACGUGUAGGGUCUUGUAUGUACCGUAUGAAUAAGCAUCGGCUAACUCCGUGCCAGCAGCCGCCGUAACAC